rnacentral:rRNA from 1 species
GCCAGACUCCUACGGGAGGCAGCAGUGGGGAAUAUUGCACAAUGGGGGGAACCCUGAUGCAGCGACGCCGCGUGGGUGAAGGAGUACUUCGGUACGUAAAGCCCUAUCAGCAGGAAAGAAAAUGACGGUACCUGACUAAGAAGCCCCGGCUAACUACGUGCCAGCAGCCGCGGUAAUACGGAGGAUGCGAGCGUUAUCCGGAUUUAUUGGGUUUAAAGGGUGCGUAGGCGGAUUUUUAAGUCAGCGGUAAAAUGUCCGGGCUCAACCCGGGCCGGCCGUUGAAACUGGGGAUCUUGAGUGGGCGAGAAGUAUGCGGAAUGCGUGGUGUAGCGGUGAAAUGCAUAGAUAUCACGCAGAACUCCGAUUGCGAAGGCAGCAUACCGGCGCCCGACUGACGCUGAGGCACGAAAGCGUGGGGAUCGAACAGGAUUAGAUACCCUUGUAA